AUGAAGCAAACAACAGCCACUGUUAAGGCAGGCAGCCCUAUGUGCCCAGAAGAUGCCCAUUUUCCACUCACCAGGCUGCCCAGACAGCUCAGAGGUGCGUGCACAGAAUGUGGUCUGCCCUCCCUCGGGGACCUGCCAGGUGGAAAUUUAUUUCCUCAGCCCUCCCAGCCGACGUCCUUGGAGCUCAGCUUCCUCGGGGCUCUGCUGGGCGACUCAACAUCUGACCCAGAUCAAGACCCAACAGGUGACUCCAGCUUCUUGCCGAUGCUGGGCCAUGGAAGACCUCCAAACUUCUUUGAGGACACACUGUGGGAGCCCCAAGAACUGAGAGCCUGCCUUUUUUUUAAGAAGGCUUGGCUUGGUGGCAAAGCAGAAGUCCUGAUGUGAUUAUAAACAAGAGCCACCACGGAGGCUAAGCACUUACCGUGUGCUAGCAUUUUACAUGAAUAUCCUCCUGUAACCCACCCCCGCAACCAAGGGGGCAAUCCCAUGACAAAGACACCAUUGUUACUCCUGAAGUCAAGCAACCUGCCCAUUCACCCAGCCCGCAAGCCUGUUCUUCCCAGUAGACUGCUUCUCAGAAAGGCGGGGAAGAAAGACUAUCAGGCCCUCAAAGGAGCUGGCUGGGAAGGUGUGAUCUCCAAUAUCGCCGAUCCUCAAAGCAAGCUCUGAGUGGUGAAGAGCCAGCGAUCUAGUUACCGCCGGCUUUGCAGCACGGCCACGGCUGGGGGUCUCCCCAGGACAUCCACACUCCUGUCGCCUCUUCUGUUCUCCUCUUACAGGCAUCGUGUUAGGGUUUCUGCUUUGCCAACACAUGCGUUAUGGGGACAGUGUGGGGAUUUCCCCAAACCAUGAUGCUGUUCUGCUCAAAAACAUUUGCCUAGAAGUCCACAACUGUGUGACUCACGCUGUUGAGGUGUCAAGAAAACUCACAGCUGCAGGGUGGAGGGGCCGGACCCACACGGAAGGGGGCACUCGGAGGGUGAGCAGUUCGGUACAUAAAAAUACAGGACACCCAGUUACAUUUGAGUUUCAGAUCAACUACAACAUUUGGGAUACCCUGAUACUAAAAAAAAAAAAAAAAAAGUAUUUAU
rnacentral:lncRNA from 1 species